GCCCUCAUAGUUAAGUGGACAUAACACAACCUUGCGGAGGUUGAAUCCGGGGUUCGACUCCUCGUGGGGGCA
rnacentral:tRNA from 1 species